rnacentral:rRNA from 1 species
UACAGAGGAGGCAAGCGUUGUUCGGAAUCACUGGGCGUAAAGCGCGUGUAGGCGGCUUUGCAAGUCGGGUGUGAAAGCCCUCAGCUCAACUGAGGAAGUGCGCCCGAAACUGCAGAGCUUGAGUGCCGGAGAGGGUGGCGGAAUUCCCCAAGUAGAGGUGAAAUUCGUAGAUAUGGGGAGGAACACCGGUGGCGAAGGCGGCCACCUGGACGGUAACUGACGCUGAGACGCGAAAGCGUGGGGAGCAAACAGG